GCCCUAAAUCUAGCCCACAAAAUUUAACUUCCACAUACCACCUACUACCCCACCUCAUAAUAAAACAUUUUAAUAUUUUAGUAUAGGAGAUAAAAAAAUUCCUAGGCGCUUCAGAUAUAGUACCGCAAGGGAAAGAUGAAAUAAAAAUGAAAUAAUUUUAAAGCCUAAAACAGCAGAGAUAUGCCCUCGUACCUUUUGCAUCAUGGUCUAGCUAGUUUGACCAAGCAAAAAGAAAAUUUAAGUUUGUCACCCCGAAACUAAGCGAGCUACUUCAAAACAGCCCUAAGGGCCAACUCAUCUCUGUUGCAAAAGAGUGAGAUGAUUUUCAAGUAGAGGCGAUAAACCUACCGAGCCUAGAGAUAGCUGGUUGUUCAGGAAAAGAGUUUUAGCUCUACCUUAAGUUUUACUAUUAUACAAAACAACCUACUAAACUUAAGAGCUAUUCAAAUAAGGCACAGCUUAUUUGAAAUAGGAUACAACCUAUAACACUGGGUAAAUAAGAGUAAUUUAAACAAAGUGGGCCUAAGAGCAGCCAUCUUUAAAAAAGCGUCACAGCUUAACUUCCCUUUUACUUCUAAUUAGUACACCUCCCCUCAACCCUUCACCAAUACUGAACUUUUUUAUACAAUUAUAAAAAUUAUUAUGCUAGAACUAGUAACAAGAAAUUGCCCUUCUCCUAAAUGUAAACAUAAGUCAUAACGGACCCCCCAUUGACACUUAACGUAAAUGUAUUUGUAUAUAGCAACAUUCAUCAAGAAAACCCUAUAAUUUUAAACGUUAACCUUACACUAGAGCAUUACAGGGAAAGAUUAAAAGAGAGAGAAGGAACUCGGCAAAUUUUAGCCCCGCCUGUUUACCAAAAACAUCGCCUCUUGAUUUCUAUAAGAGGUCCAGCCUGCCCGGUGACAAAGUUUAACGGCCGCGGUACCCUAACCGUGCAAAGGUAGCAUAAUCACUUGUUCUCUAAAUAAGGACUAGUAUCAACGGCAUCACGAGGGCUAUACUGUCUCCUCUCCCUAAUCAGUGAAACUGAUCUCCCCGUGAAGAAGCGGGGAUAUAUUUAUAAGACGAGAAGACCCCAUGGAGCUUCAAGCAAUGCAUUUACCCCCGCACACUUACCCCAAAUUAACAAAAAGACCUAAAUGCUAGCUUUGGGUUGGGGAGACCGCGGAGUACAAAUUAACCUCCACGACAAACGGGCCACGCCCCUAUCUACGAGUGACAACUCUAAGAAUCAAUAAUCUGAUGUUUAAUGACCCAUAAAUUUGAUCAACGAACCAAGUUACCCUGGGGAUAACAGCGCAAUCUACUUCAAGAGCCCCUAUCGACAAGUAGGUUUACGACCUCGAUGUUGGAUCAGGGUAUCCUAGUGGCAACCGCU
rnacentral:rRNA from 1 species